rnacentral:rRNA from 1 species
AUAGAACGCGGGCGGCAGGCCUAACACAUGCAAGUCGAACGAGUGGCGGACGGGUGAGUAAUGUCUGGGAAACUGCCUGACGGAGGGGGAUAAAUACUGGAAACGGUAGCUAAUACGGCAUACCAUCAGAAGUGCGCAGAUGGGAUUAGACUGUUGGUGGGGUAACGGCUCACCAAGGCGACGAUCCCUAGCUGGUCUGAGAGGAUGACCAGCCACACUGGAACUGAGACACUGUCCAGACUCCUACGGGAGGCAGCAGUGGGGAAUCAUGCACCAUGGGCGCAAGCCUGAUGCAGCCAUGCCUCGUGUAUGAAGCAGGCCUUCGGGUUGUAAAAUACUUUCAGCGGGGAGGCGUUACCCGCAGAAGAAGCACCGGCUAACUCCGUGCCAGCAGCCGCGGUAAUUC